rnacentral:rRNA from 1 species
GACGAACGCUGGCGGCGUGCUUAACACAUGCAAGUCGAACGGAAAGGCCCUGCUUUUGUGGGGGGCUCGAGUGGCGAACGGGUGAGUAACACGUGAGUAACCUGCCCUUGACUUUGGGAUAACUUCAGGAAACUGGGGCUAAUGCCGGAUAGGAGCUCCUGCUGCAUGGUGGGGGUUGGAAAGUUUCGGCGGUUGGGGAUGGACUCGCGGCUUAUCAGCUUGUUGGUGGGGUAGUGGCUUACCAAGGCUUUGACGGGUAGCCGGCCUGAGAGGGUGACCGGCCACAUUGGGACUGAGAUACGGCCCAGACUCCUACGGGAGGCAGCAGUGGGGAAUAUUGCACAAUGGGCGGAAGCCUGAUGCAGCAACGCCGCGUGCGGGAUGACGGCCUUCGGGUUGUAAACCGCUUUCGCCUGUGACGAAGCGUGAGUGACGGUAAUGGGUAAAGAAGCACCGGCUAACUACGUG